rnacentral:rRNA from 1 species
GACGAACGCUGGCGGCGUGCUUAACACAUGCAAGUCGAACGGAAAGGCCCUGCUUUUGUGAGGUGCUCGAGUGGCGAACGGGUGAGUAACACGUGAGUAACCUGCCCUUGACUUUGGGAUAACUUCAGGAAACUGGGGCUAAUACCGGAUAGGAGCUCCUGCUGCAUGGUGGGGGUUGGAAAGUUUCGGCGGUUGGGGAUGGACUCGCGGCUUAUCAGCUUGUUGGUGGGGUAGUGGCUUUCCAAGGCUUUGACGGGUAGCCGGCCUGAGAGGGUGACCGGCCACAUUGGGACUGAGAUACGGCCCAGACUCCUACGGGAGGCAGCAGUGGGGAAUAUUGCACAAUGGGCGGAAGCCUGAUGCAGCAACGCCGCGUGCGGGAUGACGGCCUUCGGGUUGUAAACCGCUUUCGCCUGUGACGAAGCGUGAGUGACGGUAAUGGGUAAAGAAGCACCGGCUAACUACGUG